UACGUAGGGACCGAGCGUUGUUCGGAAUUACUGGGCGUAAAGGGCGCGUAGGCGGCCUACUAAGUCGGACGUGAAAUCCCUCGGCUCAACCGAGGAACUGCGUCCGAUACUGGUGGGCUUGAAUCCGGGAGAGGGAUGUGGAAUUCCAGGUGUAGCGGUGAAAUGCGUAGAUAUCUGGAGGAACACCGGUGGCGAAGGCGGCAUCCUGGACCGGUAUUGACGCUGAUGCGCGAAAGCCAGGGGAGCAAACGGG
rnacentral:rRNA from 1 species